rnacentral:rRNA from 1 species
GCUUAACCGAAGAAGGGCAUCGGAAACUGGAUGACUUGAGUGCAGAAGAGGGCAGUGGAACUCCAUGUGUAGCGGUGGAAUGCGUAGAUAUAUGGAAGAACACCAGUGGCGAAGGCGGCUGCCUAGUCUGCAACUGACGCUGAGGCUCGAAAGCAUGGGUAGCGAACAGGAUUAGAUACCCUGGUAGUCCAUGCCGUAAACGAUGAGUGCUAGGUGUUGGAGGGUUUCCGCCCUUCAGUGCCGCAGCUAACGCAAUAAGCACUCCGCCUGGGGAGUACGACCGCAAGGUUGAAACUCAAAGGAAUUGACGGGGGCCCGCACAAGCGGUGGAGCAUGUGGUUUAAUUCGAGGCUACGCGAAGAACCUUACCAGGUCUUGACAUCUUGCGCUAACCUAAGAGAUUAGGCGUUCCCUUCGGGGACGCAAUGACAGGUGGUGCAUGGUCGUCGUCAGCUCGUGUCGUGAGAUGUUGGGUUAAGUCCCGCAACGAGCGCAACCCUUGUUACUAGUUGCCAGCAUUCAGUUGGGCACUCUAGUGAGACUGCCGGUGACAAACCGGAGGAAGGUGGGGACGACGUCAGAUCAUCAUGCCCCUUAUGACCUGGGCUACACACGUGCUACAAUGGACGGUACAACG